GACGUAGGGCGCGAGCGUUGUCCGGAUUUAUUGGGCGUAAAGAGCUCGUAGGCGGCUUGUCGCGUCGACCGUGAAACCUCACAGCUCAACUGUGAGCCUACGGUCGAUACGGGCAGGCUAGAGUUCGGUAGGGGAGACUGGAAUUCCUGGUGUAGCGGUGAAAUGCGCAGAUAUCAGGAGGAACACCGGUGGCGAAGGCGGCUUCCUGGACCGACACUGACGCUGAGGCGCGAAAGCUAGGGGAGCAAACAGG
rnacentral:rRNA from 1 species